rnacentral:sRNA from 1 species
GAUAGCUGCUAACUGAGUGGCUGACGGUCCUGCCUCUCGAGUUGGAGGCAUCUUGACGUAGUUGCUGGGAGCCUGACAAGGUCUUGCUCAGUUGUCUAGGCUAGAGUACAAUGAUGUGAUCAUAGCCCACUGCAGCUUUGCACUCCUGGCCUCAAGGGAUCCUCCCACCUUAGCCUCCUGAGUAUCUGCGAUAACAGGGAUCAAGGAUUCAACAUGAACUCUAGUCUUAAUAGUCUCAAAGGAUCAGGCUGAGUCCUCUGGAGGGACUAGAAACAGAUAUGUAAGAGCCUCACAUACAACCUGUAUUGUUACCUUUAAGAACUUCCUGUAUCCUCGGCUUCAAAUAUUUCAGGAAGUGGUCAGGUGUAGUACAGAGAUCUGGGGCAAUCAUUGCAUGUUGGAGUCCCGGAUUCCAAGGGCUUUUGGGAACAGAUUUGUGAGAAAAGAGUGAAAAGGAAGCAAGCAGGAGGAUGUUUAUUUUUAAUAAAGGGACCCUGCCCUAACUUCCUGAACUAAAACCAGUCUAGACUUGUUUUUUCCAUUUUACACAAUGUCCGUAACAACAGAAUACAUUUAUUAAAACCAAACAAACUGGGGGUUGAGUUUUGGCACAGAAAGUCAUACAGAAAUAGAAUCAGCUGCUCUUGAGUUGGGGUGAGUGACUGAUUUACAAACCAGCAGUAGAUUAAGGCUGCACUGGCCUUAACUGAACUGAAGUUAUUUUCAUUAUGAAGAGACAAUAGAGAGGCAAAAUGUCUGGCCUGGUGCCUGGGAGAUGAACUAGUUAGUCCAUCAAUUCUGACCUCCUUUUCCUUCAGUUUUCAAAACUCAAGAGAUUAGAGCUAGGAAGGACCCUUAUGGCAUUUUCUUCAUAACUGUGUGGAGAAAACUGAGUCUCAGAGAAGUUAGAUGUUUUUGCCUCUGCAUUCACAGCCAUAGAUUAAAGCAAUGUAUCACUAAAUUACCAGACAGUACCUACAAAUGGGGAGAUUUAAUUUUGGCUUCUGUCGGUUGGGAACAUAAAUGUGGCAACAAUUCAAUUUGCACACAGUUGAGCAUAGCUUCACAGCCAACUCUUUUUUUUUUUUUUUUGAAAAGGAGUCUCGCUCUGUCACUCAGGCUAGAGUGCAGUGGCACGAUCUUGGCUCACUGCAAACUCCACCUCCUGGGUUCAAGUGAUUCUCCUGCCUCAGUCUCCCAAGUAGCUGGGACUACAGGCACCCACCACCACACCCAGCUAAUUUUUAUACUUUUAGUAGAGACAGGGUUUCACCAUAUUGGCCAGGCUGGUCUCCAACUCCUGACCUUGUGAUCCCCCCGCCUCGGCCUCCUAGAGUGCUGGGAUUACAGGCAUGAGCCAUGGUGCCCGGCCCACAGUAAACUCUUUAGUAAUUGGUAGACUCUGUGUUUGGAGAUGAUCCGGCUUCUUCCCUCUCCUUCUCAGCCAUUUUAGGGUGCCUUCAGUAGUGCUUCAGCAUUUAGAUGCAGGUAGGUGUGUACUUAAUCAACGUUUAAGGAAUGUCUGAGUCCAGGCCAAAGUCAAUGUGUAUUUUUACAUUUCAGAAUGCUUUCCAUUCCUCAUCUCGCUUAAUCCCUACAGUAUACUUAUAAGGAGACAGAAAGUUAAUUUGAGCUGGAUGUGAUGGCAAGUGCCCAUUGUCCCAGCUACUCAGGAGGCUGAAGCAGGAGGAAUGCUUGAGCCCAGGAGUUCAAGGUUACAGCUAUGAUCAUACCACUGCACUCCACCUUGGGUGACAGAGUGAGACCCUAUCUCACGAAAAAAACUGU